UUGAUAGGAUAAGUUAUCACAUAUAAUUAAUGGAUAAGUUAUCUCAAGGAUAACUAAUCCAGGAUAGUUUAUCCUGGAUAACUAGUUCUCAACCAAAGGACCCUUAGGGUUUAAAGACAAUUUGUGUUCAAUGGUUUUGCUCUGUUCUGUUGUUGUUAAUGCUAGGCUUAGUUGUGUACAUCUAAUAUAUGUUUACAGUUGUAUUAUGCGUUAACUGGAGGUUUACUAGAAUUUUGGAAUCUGAGUAAUGAAAUUUGUCCUCUGUUAUGUUCAAUCAAAGAUAUUGCUAUUACAUCUGUGUGUUAUUUCCCAUCCAUUGAAGUUUGAAGCAUUGGUUGUUGAAUUAUUCUUUGGGCAAAAUGAGUUGUGGUGCUGUUGCUGUUGUAUCUGAGCUCUAUUAUGAGGUUCCUCAACUCCGGCAAGUUUUAGAGCUCUGUAUUGGUCUUGUAAUUGCAUUGUAGUUGCUCUGUUGAUGAGGAGGGGCUUGUACUCGUUCGGUGGCCACAUUCAUCUUCUUCAAUGACGCUGGCAUGGUCUUGGUUAAACCACUGGUGCACUGCUUUCUUGUUGUUGAUCCCGUUCUGCAUUGGGUAGGGGUCUUCUUUUCUGUGUCACUAUCAAUUCUUUUGUGUUGAAUCCGGUCAGUCUCCAUCUACUUGAAACCUUUGUGACUCUUGUUUCUUUAGUUGUUUGAGUAAUUGCUUUGAAAUUUUUGUGGUUUUCCAGAGGAGCAACUUGAACACUUCUCGAGUAAGUUAUUCUAAUUUUGAGUGGCUUUGCUGGCUCUGCUGUGUUCCUUCCUCAGCAUUGGUUGUUAAAAUUACAGAAAUAAAGAGAAUAAUUUUAGGUUAAUUUUCUGUGUAUUACUCUUGUGAAAUACUGUUACAUUUAUACAGGAAAGAUGGAGAGAAAAAAAGAAACGGAUAAGGAAACAGCUAUACAGGAUAUAUAUUACUAACAUAAUUCGUAUAUUCUGUUCCUAUAAUUUCUCUCCUAAAUAUGGCUAUUUUCUACACUCCCCCUCAAGUUGGGCACUCGGAUUUCCAAUGCUCAACUUGCGCAAAAUAUUACUGAAGGCUUCAGUACUGACAGCCUUGGUUAGGAUAUCUGCCAGUUGAUCUUUUGAUCGAACAAAUGGGAGUUUGAUAACCUUGUCUUCUAACUUGUCUUUGAUGAAG